rnacentral:rRNA from 1 species
AGAGUUUGAUCAUGGCUCAGGACGAACGCUGGCGGCGUGCCUAAUACAUGCAAGUAGAACGCUGAAGGAGGAGCUUGCUUCUCUGGAUGAGUUGCGAACGGGUGAGUAACGCGUAGGUAACCUGCCUGGUAGCGGGGGAUAACUAUUGGAAACGAUAGCUAAUACCGCAUAAUAGUAGAUGUUGCAUGACAUUUGCUUAAAAGGUGCAAUUGCAUCACUACCAGAUGGACCUGCGUUGUAUUAGCUAGUUGGUGAGGUAACGGCUCACCAAGGCGACGAUACAUAGCCGACCUGAGAGGGUGAUCGGCCACACUGGGACUGAGACACGGCCCAGACUCCUACGGGAGGCAGCAGUAGGGAAUCUUCGGCAAUGGACGGAAGUCUGACCGAGCAACGCCGCGUGAGUGAAGAAGGUUUUCGGAUCGUAAAGCUCUGUUGUAAGAGAAGAACGAGUGUGAGAGUGGAACUGCUCAUACCAUGACGGUAUCUUACCAGAAAGGGACGGCUAACUACGUGCCAGCAGCCGCGGUAAUAC